rnacentral:rRNA from 1 species
AACGAACGCUGGCGGCAUGCCUAACACAUGCAAGUCGAACGAGACCGUCGGGUCUAGUGGCGCACGGGGGCGGAACGCGGGGGAAGCUACCCGUAGGUUCGGAAUAACUGCCCGAAGGGGGUGCUAAUACAGGUUAAGGUCUUCGGACCAACGAUUUAUCGCCUUUGGCUGGGGCCGGGUUGGAUUAGGUGGUUGGUAGGGUAAAAGCAUACCAAGGGGACGUUCCAUAGCUGGUCGGAGAGGAUGACACGCCACACUGGGGAUGAGGCCCGGGCCAGACUCCGACGGGACGGAGCAGUGGAGAGUAUUGGACGCUGGGCGAAAGCGUGAUCACGCAGUGCCGGGUGAGUGAUGCAGGCCUUAGUGUUGUAAAGCCGUCUUACCCGGGAUGAUAAUGACAGUACCGGGAGAAUAAGCUCCGGCUAACUACGUG